UAGGGAAUAUUGCGCAAUGGGCGAAAGCCUGACGCAGCGACGCCGCGUGGGGGACGAAGGCCCUCGGGUCGUAAACCCCUUUUGAUAGGGAAGAAGCGAAAGUGACGGUACCUGUCGAAUAAGCCCCGGCCAACUACGUGCCAGCAGCCGCGGUAAUACGUAGGGGGCGAGCGUUGUCCGGAUUUAUUGGGCGUAAAGACCUCGUAGGCGGUUUGGUAAGUCGGCGGUGAAAUUUCGGAGCCCAACUCCGAAUGGUCCGUCGAUACUGCCAUGACUCGAGUCCGGUAGGGGAGUGUGGAAUUCCUGGUGUAGCGGUGAAAUGCGCAGAUAUCAGGAGGAACACCGGUGGCGAAGGCGGCACUCUGGGCCGGUACUGACGCUGAGGAGGGAAAGCUAGGGGAGCAAACAGG
rnacentral:rRNA from 1 species